rnacentral:rRNA from 1 species
GACUACCGGGGUAUCUAAUCCUGUUUGCUCCCCACGCUUUCGUGCAUGAGCGUCAGUGUCGACCCAGGGGGCUGCCUUCGCCAUCGGUGUUCCUCCACAUCUCUACGCAUUUCACUGCUACACGUGGAAUUCCACCCCCCUCUGCCGCACUCAAGCCCACCAGUCACAAACGCAGUUCCCAGGUUAAGCCCGGGGAUUUCACAUCUGUCUUAGUGAGCCGCCUGCGCACGCUUUACGCCCAGUAAUUCCGAUUAACGCUCGCACCCUACGUAUUACCGCGGCUGCUGGCACGUAGUUAGCCGGUGCUUCUUCUUCCGGUACCGUCAUCCACACCCCGUAUUAGGAGAUGCGAUUUCUUCCCGGCCGAAAGAGCUUUACAACCCGAAGGCCUUCUUCACUCACGCGGCAUGGCUGGAUCAGGGUUGCCCCCAUUGUCCAAAAUUCCCCACUGCAGCCCCCCGUAGG